ensembl:lncRNA
GUCCUGCAGAGGGCACUGCUUUGUCUCUUUUAGCAGACUUCUCUCAAGACAACGCUUGACUUUUUCCUGCCUCUGAGUUCCCCUCGCAUUAUGCAACAGAGUGAAAUACAACGGGUGUUCGAUGGUGAGGGGAUUGCAGGUGUUGAGGAACUGGAGCCCCAGUACAAGGUGGAAGUAUUCAUUAGCAGCUCUGCAGUUCUCCUGAAGAAAAGACCGGAUCCUACCGAACAGUGAAAACUAGCUCUAACCAGAAUAGAAAGCACAACUGAGAAAGAGGACAAGUACAUUAGAGUGUCUAGUCUGAGAAACAAACGCCUCACAAGUCCUCAACUGGCAGCUUCAUUAAAUAGUACCCACAAACAGAGGCGAUAGAAAGAAGAAAAAGACAUAUCUCUGACUGAGCAAUAAAGAGAAAAGAUUAAGAUGGGCAAAAGAACACAGACACUGGACAGAGGAAGUCUGGAAUUUUUUUUAAUGAACAGACAAGUCUAAGUUUGAGGUGUUCAGAUCACAAAGAAGAACUUUCAUGAGACGCAGAAUAAAUAAAUAAAAUGCUGGAGGAGUGAUGACGCCAUCUGUCAAGCAUGGUGGAGGCAAUGUGAUGGUCUGGGUGCUUUGGUGCUGGUAAUGUGGGAGAUUUGUACGGGGUAAAAGGGAUCUUGAAGAAGGAAGCCUGUCACUCCAUUUCGCAACGCCAUACCCUGUGGACAGCGCUUAAUUGGAGCCAAUUUCCUCCUACAACAGGACAAUGUCCCAAAGCACAGCUCCAAACUAUUUAGGGAAGAAGCAGUCAGCUGGUAUUCUGUCUAUAAUGGAGUGGCCAGCACAGUCACCAGAUCCCA